rnacentral:rRNA from 1 species
AGUGAACGCUGGCGGUAGGCCUAACACAUGCAAGUCGAACGGCAGCACAGUAAGAGCUUGCUCUUACGGGUGGCGAGUGGCGGACGGGUGAGGAAUACAUCGGAAUCUACUUUUUCGUGGGGGAUAACGUAGGGAAACUUACGCUAAUACCGCAUACGACCUACGGGUGAAAGCAGGGGAUCUUCGGACCUUGCGCGAUUGAAUGAGCCGAUGUCGGAUUAGCUAGUUGGCGGGGUAAAGGCCCACCAAGGCGACGAUCCGUAGCUGGUCUGAGAGGAUGAUUCGGCCCACCUGAACCUGGACCACGUCCCGACCUCCACCGUGGGGCGGCGUUGGGAAUUUUUGACCAUUGGCCGCAACCCUGUUCCGCCCUUCCCGCUUAGGUGAGGAAGGCCUUCGGGUUGUAAAGCCCUUUUGUUGGGAAGAAAAGCAGCAGGUUAAUACCCCGCUGUUCUGACGGUACCCAAAGAAUAAGCACCGGCUAACUUCGUG